UACGUAGGGUGCAAGCGUUGUCCGGAAUUAUUGGGCGUAAAGAGCUCGUAGGCGGUUUGUUGCGUCGGCUGUGAAAACUUCACGCUUAACGUGGAGCCUGCAGUCGAUACGGGCAGACUUGAGUUCGGCAGGGGAGACUGGAAUUCCUGGUGUAGCGGUGAAAUGCGCAGAUAUCAGGAGGAACACCGGUGGCGAAGGCGGAUCUCUGGGCCGUAACUGACGCUGAGGAGCGAAAGCAUGGGGAGCGAACAGG
rnacentral:rRNA from 1 species